rnacentral:rRNA from 1 species
UACGUAGGGGGCGAGCGUUGUCCGGAAUCAUUGGGCGUAAAGAGCGUGUAGGCGGCUUGGCAAGUCUGACGUGAAAUCCCGCGGCUCAACCGCGGUAGGUCGUUGGAAACUGCCUCGCUAGAGUCCGGAAGAGGAGAGCGGAAUUCCUGGUGUAGCGGUGGAAUGCGCAGAUAUCAGGAAGAACACCCGUGGCUAAGGCGGCUCUCUGGGCCGAUACUGACACUGAGGAGCGAAAGCGUGGGGAGCGAACAGG